rnacentral:rRNA from 1 species
AACGAACGUUAACGGCGCGCCUAACACAUGCAAGUCGCACGAGAAAGGGCUUCGGCCCCGGUACAGUGGCGCACGGGUGAGUAACACGUAGGUAAUCUGCCCUUGAGUGGUGGAUAACCCUCCGAAAGGAGGGCUAAUACAGCAUGAGACCACGGCAUCCACGGAUGCAGGGGUCAAAGUGGGCCUCUUCAUGAAAGCUCACGCUUGAGGAUGAACCUGCGGCCCAUCAGCUAGUUGGUAGGGUAACGGCCUACCAAGGCAAAGACGGGUAGCUGGUCUGAGAGGAUGAACAGCCACACUGGAACUGAGACACGGUCCAGACUCCUACGGGAGGCAGCAGUGGGGAAUCUUGCACAAUGGGCGAAAGCCUGAUGCAGCGACGCCGCGUGAGCGAUGAAGGCCUUCGGGUUGUAAAGCUCUGUGGGGAGGGACGAAUAUGUGCUGGUUAAUAUCCAGCGCGAUGACGGUACCUCCUUAGCAAGCACCGGCUAACUCUGUGCCAGCCGCCGCGGUAAUAC